rnacentral:misc_RNA from 1 species
GUGAAUCAUCGAAUCUUUGAACGCAAAUUGCACUCUCCUCGGAGAGUAUGCCUGUUUGAGGGUCAGCCUAAAAAAAAUCAACAUCUUUGCUUUUCCCCGUUGACUUUCGUCGGAGAGGGGUUAUCUUAAAUCCCGGUUUAAGCGACUUAAAAUUUUUUUUUACGAUUCUAGGAAUGUUUCUAAGAUUUUUCUUUUCCGUUAAAGGUAUCUAAUUUCUUAUUAUACUUGGCCGU